GUUGGUUAAACUCAGUGGUAGAGUGCAUGCUUUGUAUGUAUGAUGUACUGGGUUCAAUCCCCAGCUUCGACC